rnacentral:lncRNA from 1 species
UUCUUUUCGAGGUCGGCCGCGUGGCUGGAAGACAUGGCCACUCCAGUCGGUGUUGAGCACGGCGAGCAGUCUCAGGCCUUUAGUGAUGAUGAUUAAAGGUGGUGGCUGUGGCCUUGAAAACAGUCAUGUGAAAACUCAUCACCUUAAGGUGUUAAGUGUAAGGAUCUUCAUGAUGAAAUUUCUGUAAAUGGUGUGCAGUCAGCCUCAGUUUCCAAAGCCGGAAAAGGAUCCUCUAGUAGCCACGGUGUGGCAGCUGCUCUGAACCAGGACCUGGACCCGGACCCAAAGUGCCAUGUCUUUAAUGUUAGCUCCCAGCGAUGCCAGAUGGGAUCAGCACAGCCCUGCCUCUGCUGCUAAUUGUUCCUCUAAAGUAAUCGCCAUGCGUUCUUUGGGCUUCAUCUUUAAAGGAAUGAAGCAACUGAGAUUAUUCUGGAAAACCUUUUGGCAGUUAGUGAAAUUAGAGUACAACUAAG